GGGGAAUAUUGCACAAUGGGGGAAACCCUGAUGCAGCGACGCCGCGUGGAGGAAGAAGGUCUUCGGAUUGUAAACUCCUGUUGUUGAGGAAGAUAAUGACGGUACUCAACAAGGAAGUGACGGCUAACUACGUGCCAGCAGCCGCGGUAAAACGUAGGUCACAAGCGUUGUCCGGAAUUACUGGGUGUAAAGGGAGCGCAGGCGGGAAGACAAGUUGGAAGUGAAAUCUAUGGGCUCAACCCAUAAACUGCUUUCAAAACUGUUUUUCUUGAGUAGUGCAGAGGUAGGCGGAAUUCCCGGUGUAGCGGUGGAAUGCGUAGAUAUCGGGAGGAACACCAGUGGCGAAGGCGGCCUACUGGGCACCAACUGACGCUGAGGCUCGAAAGUGUGGGUAGCAAACAGGAUUAGAUACCCUGGUAGUCCACACCGUAAACGAUGAUUACUAGGUGUUGGAGGAUUGACCCCUUCAGUGCCGCAGUUAACACAAUAAGUAAUCCACCUGGGGAGUACGACCGCAAGGUUGAAACUCAAAGGAAUUGACGGGGGCCCGCACAAGCAGUGGAGUAUGUGGUUUAAUUCGACGCAACGCGAAGAACCUUACCAAGUCUUGACAUCCCUUGACAGGCAUAGAAAUAUGUUUUCUCUUCGGAGCAAGGAGACAGGUGGUGCAUGGUUGUCGUCAGCUCGUGUCGUGAGAUGUUAGGUUAAGUCCCGCAACGAGCGCAACCCUUAUGGUCAGUUACUACGCAAGAGGACUCUGGCCAGACUGCCGUUGACAAAACGGAGGAAGGUGGGGAUGACGUCAAAUCAUCAUGCCCUUUAUGACUUGGGCUACACACGUACUACAAUGGCGUUAAACAAAGAGAAGCAAGACCGCGAGGUGGAGCAAAACUCAGAAACAACGUCCCAGUUCGGACUGCAGGCUGCAACUCGCCUGCACGAAGUCGGAAUUGCUAGUAAUCGUGGAUCAGCAUGCCACGGUGAAUACGUUCCCG
rnacentral:rRNA from 1 species